UACGAAGGGUGCAAGCGUUAAUCGGAAUUACUGGGCGUAAAGCGCACGUAGGCGGCUUGGUAUGUCGGGUGUGAAAUCCCCGGGCUCAACCUGGGAACUGCAUCCGAAACUGCCUUGCUAGAGUAUGGGAGAGGGAAGUGGAAUUUCCGGUGUAGCGGUGAAAUGCGUAGAUAUCGGAAGGAACAUCAGUGGCGAAGGCGACUUCCUGGACCAAUACUGACGCUCAGGUGCGAAAGCGUGGGGAGCAAACAGG
rnacentral:rRNA from 1 species